CGCGAACAGAGGGAGGCGAGAUGGCGACAUGGAGCAAAUCCCAAAAACAGCGCCCCAGUUCGGAUUGCAGGCUGCAACCCGCCUGCAUGAAGCCGGAAUCGCUAGUAAUCGCGGAUCAGAAUGCCGCGGUGAAUACGUUCCCGGGUCUUGUACACACCGCCCGUCAAGCCAUGGAAGCCGGGGGUGCCUGAAGGUGUGCAACCGCAAGGAGCGCCCUAAGGUAAAACCGGUGACUGGGGCUAAGUCGUAACAAGGUAAC
rnacentral:rRNA from 1 species